ACUUUUUAUACAAUUUGAAAGAGAAUUAUGCACAUAGCAACGGCCUGCCCGGGGGGUACACCCCGGGACAACUGGGGGGAAACGAGGGGGAAUUUGGUAUUUUAUCUGUGUGUUCUGCCUGUGAACCCCGGGGAAAUUAGGGAGUGGUCAUUAUUUAUGGGGAGGGGGGUGUUGGGAAAUGGGAAAAAUAAGGAUUGAAAACUUUUUUGACCCCCCCCCCACUCCA